rnacentral:misc_RNA from 1 species
UUUCCGUAGGUGAACCUGCGGAAGGAUCAUUAUUGUAUAACCGAGGUGCGAGGGCUGUCGCUGACCCGAAAGGUCGUGCACGCCCGAGUGCCCUCACACACAUCCAUCUCACCCCUAUGUGCACCACCGCGUGGGUCCCCCUUUGGCUUGUUCGGAGGGGGGCUUACGUUUUCACACAAACUUUGUAUGCAGUAUAGAAUGUAUUUUUUGUUUUUGCGAUCACGCAAUCAAUACAACUUUCAACAAUGGAUCUCUUGGCUCUC